rnacentral:rRNA from 1 species
GCCCUUCAGCAGCCGCGGUAAUACGUAGGGUGCAAGCGUUAAUCGGAAUUANUGGGCGUAAAGCGUGCGCAGGCGGUUAUGCAAGACAGAUGUGAAAUCCCCGGGCUCAACCUGGGAACUGCAUUUGUGACUGCAUAGCUAGAGUACGGUAGAGGGGGAUGGAAUUCCACGUGUAGCAGUGAAAUGCGUAGAUAUGUGGAGGAACACCGAUGGCGAAGGCAAUCCCCUGGACCUGUACUGACGCUCAUGCACGAAAGCGUGGGGAGCAAACAGGAUUAGAUACCCUGGUAGUCCACGCCCUAAACGAUGUCAACUGGUUGUUGGGAGGGUUUCUUCUCAGUAACGUAGCUAACGCGUGAAGUUGACCGCCUGGGGAGUACGCCCGCAAGGUUUAAAACUCNAANGNAAUNGCGGANGGNGNANUUNNNCNNNUNCCCNC